rnacentral:rRNA from 1 species
AGUGAACGUUGGCGGCGUGGAUUAGGCAUGCAAGUCGAGCGAGAACCGUAGCAAUACGGGGACAGCGGCGAAAGGGACAGUAAUGUGUAGGUACCUACCCCCGGGUUCGGGAUAGCUGCGGGAAACUGCAGGUAAUACCGAAUAAUGUCUCCGGACCAAAGGUGUGAUUCCACCUGGGGAGGGGCCUGCAUCCUAUUAGCUUGUUGGUGGGGUAACGGCUCACCAAGGCGACGAUGGGUAGCGGGUGUGAGAGCAUGACCCGCGUCAUUGGGACUGAGACACUGCCCAGACACCUACGGGUGGCUGCAGUCGAGAAUCUUCGGCAAUGGGCGCAAGCCUGACCGAGCGACGCCGCGUGCGGGAUGAAGGCCUUCGGGUUGUAAACCGCUGUCGUAGAGGAGGAAAUGCAGGGGGGUUCUCCCUUCUGUUUGACCUAUUCUAGAAGGAAGUACGGGCUAAGUUCGUGCCAGCAGCCGCCGUAAGAC